UCAUAGCGCAUUUGAAAGAAAAAAA
rnacentral:piRNA from 1 species